CCAAUAGCGUAUAUUAAAGUUGCUGCAGUUAAAAAGCUCGUAGUUGAAUUUCGGGACCAUCAUGUCGGUCGUGCCUCGGUACGUACUGGCAUUGUUGGUUUCUACCUUCUGACGAACCAUGAUGUCAUUAAUUUGGUGUUAUGGGGAGUUAGGACUGUUACUUUGAAAAAAUUAGAGUGUUUAAAGCAGGCUUUAGCUUGAAUACAUUAGCAUGGAAUAAUGAAAUAGGACGUUCGAACCUAUUUUGUUGGUUUCUAGGAUCAACGUAAUGAUUAAUAGGGAUAGUUGGGGCAUUAGUAUUCAAUUGUCAGAGGUGAAAUUCUUGGAUUUAUUGAAGACGAACUACUGCGAAAGCAUUUGCCAAGGAUGUUUUCAUUAAUCAAGAACGAAAGUUAGGGGAUCGAAGACGAUCAGAUACCGUCGUAGUCUUAACCAUAAACUAUGCCGACUAGGGAUCGGAUGAUGUUAAUUUUUUAAUGACUCAUUCGGCGCCUUACG
rnacentral:rRNA from 1 species